CCUACGGGCGGCUGCAGUGGGGAAUAUUGCACAAUGGGCGCAAGCCUGAUGCAGCCAUGCCGCGUGUGUGAAGAAGGCCUUCGGGUUGUAAAGCACUUUCAGCGGGGAGGAAGGCGGUGAGGUUAAUAACCUCAUCGAUUGACGUUACCCGCAGAAGAAGCACCGGCUAACUCCGUGCCAGCAGCCGCGGUAAUACGGAGGGUGCAAGCGUUAAUCGGAAUUACUGGGCGUAAAGCGCACGCAGGCGGUCUGUCAAGUCGGAUGUGAAAUCCCCGAGCUCAACCGGGGAACUGCAUUCGAAACUGGCAGGCUAGAGUCUUGUAGAGGGGAGUAGAAUUCCAGGUGUAGCGGUGAAAUGCGUAGAGAUCUGGAGGAAUACCGGUGGCGAAGGCGGCCCCCUGGACAAAGACUGACGCUCAGGUGCGAAAGCGUGGGGAGCAAACAGGAUUAGAUACCCUAGUAGUC
rnacentral:rRNA from 1 species